CAACAGCCAAACCCAUCUGUUCUCUGAUUGGAUUGUUAAAUUUGUGAUUGACAUGACAUUGACCAAGCAGCUGACAGGGUCAAAAUUUGUACAUGUAAGUUGAAAUCCACACCCAGCCAGGGAACCUGAGUGCAGAGUUUUGCACUUAGUUUUUUGCUUUAUAUCUGUAACCAGACCUUAACAAAAAAACUUAUAACUCGUGUAAAUAUUUUUUACAAACACAAAUCCUUUUUACACACAAAUUCUCAUCUAUAGAUGCACAAAGAUAACAUUUUAAUAUAUUUUGGUUUACAAGGUUACAAAGCUCAGUACACAAAUACACAUUUGAUUUACAAGUACAAAAUAUUUAUGACCACAAUUUGAGCCCAUACUAUUCCAGCAAAGUUUCUCAAAAAAAUCUUGUCAUAAUCUGUAUAAAAAAUAAAAAAUAAAAAAAAAUUCCAGGACAUGACAAAUAGAACAGAGGGAUUAUAAUAGUGGCCACAAGGGAAAAACAUUAUCUGGACAUCUUGAGAAUUUUUAGAAAAUGAGAUUUAUCUGUUUUUAGAUAUUUUAGUUUCUAUUUGAAACUGAAUUUUUUAAGUACUUAUUGUAAAUAUAUGUUUUAUAAUUGUUGAAAACCUUGGAAAUUUAACUAAAGCUUUCACUAGCAUGUGUAAAAACAACAUGGGUGAUUUUAUGUCCAAAAUAUCUGUGUUCUGUUCAAGUGUUUUUAGUCUAACGUAAUAACACUUUGUACCACAAGAUGGUAUGCUGAAUCAAUAUAACCCAUUAAGAACGUGUUUGUAUUCACCAGGUUGGCCUGGGAAAAGGCACUUGACGAAAUAAGGAAGCUAUUUCAGCUAGGCUGCUACGUCAAAAAACACCUACACACCCACUGUGCCAUCAGGUAUCAGCGCUUCAGUUCCAGUCAAGGGCUGCGUGUCUGAAAACAUCUGUACAGCAGUGUCCAACCUUUUAAGUCUCCCUGUCUUGAGUCUUGGGAACGUCAGCUGUUGUGAUAACAAUUUGUGUAAUACUGCUCUAACAACAACAACAUUCAUCUAUCUUCUAUUUGGACUCAUAUAUAUUAUCUAUUAGAAGAAAAUAAAAAGGCAUGAAACACCGUUGAAGCAUCAGAAAGGCUCAGAAAACCCCUUUUUCAAGACCUGAUUUGGCUUACGAAAUCCAAAUUUAGAUAAGAGGCUGGAGUCUGUCUGAAGCUGAGGUUCAAUAAAAAGGCAUCAAUAUAAAACAAAUAAAAAAACUGCAUACACACCAAUAUUUACUCGAUAUAUCAUACUUUCUGCAUGUUUUUUUUUUCUUUUAAUUAUCAAGGAAAUUGGGCAUUUUAAGGCUUGUGUGAAAUGUGGAACUCGAGCAUUCCCUGUAGUAGGAAAAAUAGUAUCAAUAUCUGAAAAUAAUGAAGAUUUAACUGAAACA
rnacentral:lncRNA from 1 species